AUUGAACGCUGGCGGCAGGCCUAACACAUGCAAGUCGAGCGGCGCGUCGGACGGGUGAGUAAUGCUUAGGAAUCUGCCUGGUAGUGGGGGAUAACGUCCGGAAACGGGCGCUGAUACCGCAUACUAUCAGAUGAGCCUAUGCCGGAUUAGCUAGGGGGUGGGGUAAAGGCCUACCAAGGCGACGAUCCGUAACUGGGCUGAGAGGAUGAUCAGUCACACUGGAACUGAGGCACGGUCCAGACGCCUACGGGAGGCAGCAGUGGGGAAUAUUGCACAAUGGGCGAAAGCCUGAUCCAGCCAUGCCGCGUGUGUGAAGAAGGCCUUCGGGUUGUAAAGUACUUUUAUUGGGAAGGCGGUACCCACAGAAUAAGCACCGGCUAACUUCGUGCCAGCAGCCGCGGUAAUUC
rnacentral:rRNA from 1 species